GACAGCAUGGCCGAGUGGUUAAGGCGGUAGACUCGAAUCUAAAAAUAGCAAUCUACUAUCUUCGGAUGCGUGAGUUCAAAUCUCACUGCUGUCG
rnacentral:tRNA from 1 species